GGAAGAGUAUCGAAGUGGUCAUAACGAGCCUGACUCGAAAUCAGGUGUACGGCAACGUACCGUGGGUUCGAAUCCCACCUCUUCCGCCA
rnacentral:tRNA from 4 species